GUGUCAGCCGCCGCGGUAAUACGUAGGGGGCUAGCGUUGUCCGGAAUCAUUGGGCGUAAAGAGCGUGUAGGCGGCCCGGUAAGUCCGCUGUGAAAGUCGGGGGCUCAACCCUCGAAUGCCGGUGGAUACUGUCGGGCUAGAGUGCGGAAGAGGCGAGUGGAAUUCCUGGUGUAGCGGUGAAAUGCGCAGAUAUCAGGAGGAACACCAAUUGCGAAGGCAGCUCGCUGGGACGUAACUGACGCUGAGACGCGAAAGCGUGGGGAGCAAACAGGAUUAGAAACCCCAGUAGUCC
rnacentral:rRNA from 1 species